rnacentral:rRNA from 1 species
GACGAACGCUGGCGGCGUGCUUAACACAUGCAAGUCGAGCGGUAAGGCCCUUUCGGGGGUACACGAGCGGCGAACGGGUGAGUAACACGUGGGUGACCUGCCCUCAGCUCUGGGAUAAGCCUGGGAAACCGGGUCUAAUACCGGAUAUGACUCCAUGACGCAUGUUGUGGGGUGGAAAGCCUUGUGCGGCUGAGGAUGGGCCCGCGGCCUAUCAGCUUGUUGGUGGGGUGAUGGCCUACCAAGGCAACGACGGGUAGCCGGCCUGAGAGGGCGACCGGCCACACUGGGACUGAGACACGGCCCAGACUCCUACGGGAGGCAGCAGUGGGGAAUCUUGCGCAAUGGGCGAAAGCCUGACGCAGCGACGCCGCGUGAGGGAUGACGGCCU